AAGUGCAGCUUGCCCUCAAGAAUCUCUGCAAACUGCCUAAACCAACAAUUAGGGUGAGAAUUUCCUACUCAUAUCCCAUCUUUU